GACGCAGAGGAAGAAAUCCCAUUCAAACCAUAGUUUUGACAUGAUUUUUAAAAGUAAAAAUGGAUUUUUAUUUGUCGUUUCCUCUAGGAUUUGGACAUCAAUCCUGUGGUGAGGGACAUCAUGAUGAAUCGAACCUUCACCAUCAUCAGUCUUCACUUUGCCGACUUCCUGAGCCACGACUGGCUUUCCUGGUUCACGGUGAAACUGGUUCCUCUCCUCCCCAGCUUGACUGCAGAGAUGCUCCACACAGUAACAUCAAACACAGACUGCAACGCAUACCACGUCAUCGUUGUGGCUCUGAGCAGCGUCUUUGACCAGAUGACUUUCGCUGAGACAGCAGGAGCUCGCCCCAGUCCUGUUGGGCUACCUGAAGCAGAGACACGCCUCGGGUAGGUCCAGUGAAGGUGGUGCUUUUUUGUGUCGUGUGCCUAAGAGAAAAAGGCCUGUGGUGCCCUGGCUCUAUGAAUGUCUGCGUCUCCUAAUGAGUGUUUCCCGUGCAUCAUCGUUGCAGGCUCACCUUGUGGGUCCGACACAAGCAGCCUCAGUGCUUGGUUUGAGGAGAGCUUUGGCAAAUUCUCCAUCUAUGUGGAUUACAACGACCUCCGUGAGAUCAAUGCCGGCUUUCGACAGCGUAAGGAGCCCCGCCGCGCUAAACAAUUGCUCCCAUGACUGUGGAGGGCAACCAUGUCAUUUGUUAAAAAUGGUGUUGGUUUUCUCUUUUGCAGUUUGAGUCUUUGGACCUUCUGAGCGCUUCUCAAGUUGCUCAGCUGACACUACACUCUGGAGCGCUGAACAACGCACACCUGAUAGAAAUGGUCUUUGACCGUCUAGAGGGCGGCAACUCUUUCCAGGAUAUCGAAGAAUUAUUGGAGGCUCUCUCACCGGACCUCACAGGUGUGUCCUCAUCACUAAGAUGGCAAAUGUUCUGGGGACGCACAGGAAGAAAUCCCAUUCAAACCAUAGUUUUGACAUGAUUUUAAAAGUAAAAAUGGAUUUUUAUUUGUCGUUUCCUCUAGGAUUUGGACAUCAGUCCUGUGGUGAGGGACAUCAUGAUGAAUCGAACCUUCACCAUCAUCAGUCUUCACUUUUGCCGACUUCCUGAGCCACGACUGGCUUUCCUGGUUCACGGUGAAACUGGUUCCUCUCCUCCCCAGCUUGACUGCAGAGAUGCUCCACACAGUAACAUCAAACACAGACUGCAACGCAUACCACGUCAUGUACGUAGCUCUCCCCAAAUGCCAGACAGCACUGCAACACGUGUCUUAUAGCACUCUCUGAGAGAAGGAGAGGACAUUUCUACAGAAUGUUUAGUGAGUGUUGAGAAGCCGCGCUAAAGAGGCGUCAUCCUUACCUUUUCUUUUGAUCUGUCCACUAUAGCGUUGUGGCUCUGAGCAGCGUCUUUGACCAGAUGACUUCGCUGAGACAGCAGGAGCUCGCCCCAGUCCUGUUGGGCUACCUGAAGCAGAGACACGCCUCGGGUAGGUCCAGUGAAGGUGGUGCUUUUUUGUGUCGUGUGCCUAAGAGAAAAGGCCUGUGGUGCCCUGGCUCUAUGAAUGUCUGCGUCUCCUAAUGAGUGUUUCCCGUGCAUCAUCGUUGCAGGCUCACCUUGUGGGUCCGACACAAGCAGCCUCAGUGCUUGGUUUGAGGAGAGCUUUGGCAAAUUCUCCAUCUAUGUGGAUUACAACGACCUCCGUGAGAUCAAUGCCGGCUUUCGACAGCGUAAGGAGCCCCGCCGCGCUAAACAAUUUGCUCCCAUGACUGUGGAGGGCAACCAUGUCAUUUGUUAAAAUGGUGUUGUUUUCUCUUUUGCAGUUUGAGUCUUUGGACCUUCUGAGCGCUUCUCAAGUUGCUCAGCUGACACUACACUCUGGAGCGCUGAACAACGCACACCUGAUAGAAAUGGUCUUUGACCGUCUAGAGGGCGGCAACUCUUUCCAGGAUAUCGAAGAGUUCUUGGAGGCUCUCUCCCGGACCUCACAGGUGUGUCCUCAUCACUAAGAUGGCAAAUGUUCUGGGGGACGCUGAGGAAGAAAUCCCAUUCAAACCAUAGUUUUGACAUGAUUUUAAAAAGUAAAAAAAUGGAUUUUUUUAUUUGUCGUUUCCCUCUAGGAUUUGGACAUCAAUCCUGUGGUGAGGGACAUCAUGAUGAAUCGAACCUUCACCAUCAUCAGUCUUCACUUUUGCCGACUUCCUGAGCCACGACUGGCUUUCCUGGUUCACGGUGAAACUGGUUCCUCUCCUCCCCAGCUUGACUGCAGAGAUGCUCCACACAGUAACAUCAAACACAGACUGCAACGCAUACCACGUCAUGUACGUAGCUCUCCCCAAAUGCCAGACAGCACUGCAACACGUGUCUUAUAGCACUCUCUGAGAGAAGGAGAGGACAUUUCUACAGAAUGUUUAGUGAGUGUUGAGAAGCCGCGCUAAAGAGGCGUCAUCCUUACCUUUUCUUUUGAUCUGUCCACUAUAGCGUUGUGGCUCUGAGCAGCGUCUUUGACCAGAUGACUUUCGCUGAGACAGCAGGAGCUCGCCCCAGUCCUGUUGGGCUACCUGAAGCAGAGACACGCCUCGGGUAGGUCCAGUGAAGGUGGUGCUUUUUUUGUGUCGUGUGCCUAAGAGAAAAAGGCCUGUGGUGCCCUGGCUCUAUGAAUGUCUGCGUCUCCUAAUGAGUGUUUCCCGUGCAUCAUCGUUGCAGGCUCACCUUGUGGGUCCGACACAAGCAGCCUCAGUGCUUGGUUUGAGGAGAGCUUUGGCAAAUUCUCCAUCUAUGUGGAUUACAACGACCUCCGUGAGAUCAAUGCCGGCUUUCGACAGCGUAAGGAGCCCCGCCGCGCUAAACAAUUUGCUCCCAUGACUGUGGAGGGCAACCAUGUCAUUUGUUAAAAUGGUGUUGUUUUUCUCUUUUGCAGUUUGAGUCUUUGGACCUUCUGAGCGCUUCUCAAGUUGCUCAGCUGACACUACACUCUGGAGCGCUGAACAACGCACACCUGAUAGAAAUGGUCUUUGACCGUCUAGAGGGACGGCAACUCUUUCCAGGAUAUCGAAGAGUUCUUGGAGGCUCUCUCCCGGACCUCACAGGUGUGUCCUCAUCACUAAGAUGGCAAAUGUUCUGGGGGACGCACAGGAAGAAAUCCCAUUCAAACCAAAGAUUAGACAUGAUUUUAAAAAGUAAAAAAAUGGAUUUUUUUAUUUAUCGUUUCCUCUAGGAUUUGGACAUCAAUCCUGUGGUGAGGGACAUCAUGAUGAAUCGAACCUUCACCAUCAUCAGUCUUCACUUUUGCCGACUUCCUGAGCCACGACUGGGCUUUCCUGGUUCACGGUGAAACUGGUUCCUCUCCUCCCCAGCUUGACUGCAGAGAUGCUCCACACAGUAACAUCAAACACAGACUGCAACGCAUACCACGUCAUGUACGUAGCUCUCCCCAAAUGCCAGACAGCACUGCAACACGUGUCUUAUAGCACUCUCUGAGAGAAGGAGAGGACAUUUCUACAGAAUGUUUAUAGUGAGUGUUGAGAAGCCGCGCUAAAGAGGCGUCAUCCUUACCUUUUCUUUGUGAUCUGUCCACUAUAGCGUUGUGGCUCUGAGCAGCGUCUUUGACCAGAUGACUUUCGCUGAGACAGCAGGAGCUCGCCCCAGUCCUGUUGGGCUACCUGAAGCAGAGACACGCCUCGGGUAGGUCCAGUGAAGGUGGUGCUUUUUUGUGUCGUGUGCCUAAGAGAAAAGGCCUGUGGUGCCCUGGCUUUAUGAAUGUCUGCGUCUCCUAAUGAGUGUUUCCCGUGCAUCAUCGUUGCAGGCUCACCUUGUGGGUCCGACACAAGCAGCCUCAGUGCUUGGUUUGAGGAGAGCUUUGGCAAAUUCUCCAUCUAUGUGGAUUACAACGACCUCCGUGAGAUCAAUGCAGGCUUUCGGCAGCGUAAGGAGCCCCGCCGCGAUACACAAUUUGCUCCCAUGACUGUGGAGGGCCAACCAUGUCACUUUGUCUAAAAAUGGUGUUGUUUUUCUCUUUGCAGUUUGAGUCUUUGGACCUUCUGAGCGCUUCUCAGGUUGCUCAGCUGACACUACACUCUGGAGCGCUGAACAGCGCACACCUGAUAGACAUGGUCUUUGAC
ensembl:lncRNA